CCAAAUUUCCCAAACCCUAGCUUCAUGUUUAGCGCCGCAAGCCCCUAGCAGUCUCCAGCAGACGUCCCAAGCGCCGCAUGUCUCGGGGCUGGCCUCUCAACGUGCGCCGUUCGCGCGCACGACACCUGCAAACAAAACGAACUCAAAGAGUCCAACAGAGAGAAAACAGCAAAAUAAUAGAUAGAUGCGAUUUAGUUUUUCUUUUUCGGGCUAUAAAAGCCUUUAAAAAUC
rnacentral:lncRNA from 1 species